rnacentral:rRNA from 1 species
CUUGGUCAUUUAGAGGAAGUAAAAGUCGUAACAAGGUUUCCGUAGGUGAACCUGCGGAAGGAUCAUUACAAGUGAGGCUACCGAACGUUGGAAACAGCGGUUAGGAGCUUACACCCACCCGUGUUUACAUACUAUUGUUGCUUUGGCGGGCCGUGGCCUCCACUGCGGGCUCUGCUCGUGUGUGCCCGCCAGAGAACCAAACUCUGAAUGUUAGUGAUGUCUGAGUACUAUCUAAUAGUUAAAACUUUCAACAACGGAUCUCUUGGUUCUGGCAUCGAUGAAGAACGCAGCGAAAUGCGAUAAGUAUGUGAAUUGCAGAAUUCAGUGAAUCAUCGAAUCUUUGAACGCACAUUGCGCCCUGUGGUAUUCCGCAGGGCAUGCCUGUUCGAGCGUCAUUUAACCACUCACGCCUAGCGUGGUAUUGGGGCACGCGGUCUCCGCGGCCCUCAAAAUUAGUGGCGGCGCCGGUGGGCUCUAAGCGUAGUACAUACUCCCGCUAUAGAGUUCCCCCCGGUGGCUCGCCAGAACCCCCAAUUUUUUACAAGUUGACCUCGGAUCAGGUAGGGAUACCCGCUGAACUUAAGCAUAUCAAUAAGCGGAGGA